GCACUACUGAGGAGUCCCACAAUAGGACGAAACGGCCGCCCAGUGC
rfam:Schistosoma curassoni strain Dakar, Senegal genome assembly, scaffold: SCTD_scaffold0010752